GACGAACGCUGGCGGCGUGCUUAACACAUGCAAGUCGAACGGAAAGGCCCCCUUGUGGGGUACUCGAGUGGCGAACGGGUGAGUAACACGUGAGUAACCUACCCUUGACUUUGGGAUAACUUCAGGAAACUGGGGCUAAUACCGGAUAGGAGCUCCUGCUGCAUGGUGGGGGUUGGAAAGUUUCGGCGGUUGGGGAUGGACUCGCGGCUUAUCAGCUUGUUGGUGGGGUAGUGGCUCACCAAGGCUUUGACGGGUAGCCGGCCUGAGAGGGGGAACGGCCCCAUUGGGACUGAGGUAAGGCCCCGGAUACUACGGGAGGCAGGAGUGGGGAAUAUUGCAAAAUGGGCGGAAGCCUGAUGCAGCAACGCCGCGUGCGGGAUGAAGGCCUUCGGGUUGUAAACCGCUUUCGCCUGUGACGAAGCGUGAGUGACGGUAAUGGGUAAAGAAGCACCGGCUAACUACGUG
rnacentral:rRNA from 1 species